rnacentral:pre_miRNA from 1 species
AUUCUACUCCCUCCGUCCGAAAAUACUUGUCAUCAAAAUGGAUAAAAGAAGAUGUAUCUAGACAUAUUUUAGUUCUAGAUACACCCCUUUUUAUUCAUUUUGAUGAUAAGUAUUUUCGGACGGAGGGAGUAUGUG